rnacentral:rRNA from 1 species
UCGGAACGUACCCAAGAGUGGGGGAUAACGUAGCGAAAGUUACGCUAAUACCGCAUACGAUCUAAGGAUGAAAGUGGGGGAUCGCAAGACCUCAUGCUCCUGGAGCGGCCGAUAUCUGAUUAGCUAGUUGGUGAGGUAAAGGCUCACCAAGGCGACGAUCAGUAGCUGGUCUGAGAGGACGACCAGCCACACUGGAACUGAGACACGGUCCAGACUCCUACGGGAGGCAGCAGUGGGGAAUUUUGGACAAUGGGCGCAAGCCUGAUCCAGCAAUGCCGCGUGAGUGAAGAAGGCCUUCGGGUUGUAAAGCUCUUUUGUCAGGGAAGAAACGGUAGAGGCUAAUAUCCUUUGCUAAUGACGGUACCUGAAGAAUAAGCACCGGCUAACUACGUGCCAGCAGCCGCGGUAAUACGUAGGGUGCAAGCGUUAAUCGGAAUUACUGGGCGUAAAGCGUGCGCAGGCGGUUUUGUAAGUCUGCUGUUAAAGAGUGGAGCUUAACUCCAUCAUGGCAGUGGAAACUGAAAGGCUUGAGUAUGGUAGGGGCAGAGGGAAUUCCCGGUGUAGCGGUGAAAUGCGUAGAUAUCGGGAAGAACACCAGUGGCGAAGGCGCUCUGCUGGGCCAUUACUGACGCUCAUGGACGAAAGCCAGGGGAGCGAAAGGGAUUAGAUACCCCUGUAGUCCUGGCCGUAAACGAUGAACACUAGGUGUCGGG